rnacentral:lncRNA from 1 species
CGUGGCUGAUGGAGCCUCACAAUGUUUUCCCUGACCCAUUGGACAACAUGACUGCUGCUCCCAUCCAAUCAGAGCUGGGACAUUUGUUCUCAGGAAGGCGUCUCUCACUUGAGUCGUCCAGGGCAGGGGGCAAGGGGCAGGAGGCAGGGCGCUGAAGAGGAAGGAUUGAAGUCCAUGCACAGGUGGUUAGACACAUGCUCCCUUGCCUGCUUUCAGGAGGGCAGGAGGUGCACUCGGUCUUCCUGGCAGGACAGCUGAGAUUUCAUCUCCAGGAAAAUUGACCCAGCCCAUGUGUAAUAAAACAAAGAGACAAAUAACAACUGCAGAAAAGCCAAAACUGCAUAUGUAGCACAUGCCCACUGUGACCGAGGAAAGAUCUCAGGUACUGGUGUUGGAGUCACCCGUGCUGAUGCUCAUCAGCAGACACGUGUCCACACAGAGCUUCUGGAGAGCCUCUGAGUGAGUCAAGAUAAACGGACAGCUGCAGAUCACCAGGUAUGUGGACAGCGCCUGACACGGCAGGGGGAAAACAAAGGGAACUUAGCAACAACAGAGGAAGGAGGAAUCUUAAAAGCAGCCCUGUAGAAAGGAUUCUAGAAGACAGAGGGCAGGACACUGCACUCACAAAGCAAGGAAGAACCCUAUGAAAUGGAUAUUAAGAGAGGCAGAAAGAACUACCAGAAAUUAAAACUAUGGGGCUGGGGAUUUAGCUCAGUGGUGCCGCCAGCCUCGUACCCUGAAGUAUCACAGAGGUGGAGGAGGGGACAAUCCCACCUGAUCCCCAUGUUGCCAGACCACAUCCUGAAGAUCCAAUGUCAAGAGGCGACUUUUUCACCUGCGGCCAGGCAGUGGAGAGUGGCUAGGGACCAAGACCCUUCCUAGGAAGAAGGACCAAGAAAUUCACCUGUCCUCUAUCUGAGACCCAUCACCUGGAUCUGGGAUGGCUGGCAGGUCUCUGUACAUCUCAGAAGAACUAGGAGGUGAUGGAUAUCCUCAGAGAGGCAGAUCUGAGUUCGAUUCAACACCACCAUUCUGAUAUUUUGGAAAUAAAAUGGUACUGUGACAUAGUAUUUAUUCUGGAACUGCUCAAAUGUUUGAGGAGAAACUGGAUAAGCACCUCAAGGGACAGCAUGUUCUACACAGAAAUGCAGUGUUCUUUUCUGUGCUUAUUCCCCAGUUGAGAGCUAUAAAAACACCUGUAUCGACGAGUUUACCAAAGUGAACACUACAUCUCUUUAGAAGCCCAGAUAACUCCUUUUAAUGUGGUGCAAUCCCACUCAGACCAUCCAGCCU